AUACUUACCUGGCAGGGGAGAUACCUGGUUUUCCCAGGGCGAGGCUUAUCCAUUGCACUACGGAUGUGCUGACCCCUGCGAUUUCCCCAAAUGUGGGAAACUCGACUGCAUAAUUUGUGGUAGUGGGGGACUGCAUUCGCGCUUUCCCCUG
rnacentral:snRNA from 3 species